rnacentral:tRNA from 1 species
GGAGAGGUGGCUGAGUGGCUGAAAGCGGCGGUUUGCUAAACCGUUAGUCGGGGUCAAACCCGGCUCGGGGGUUCGAAUCCCCCCCUCUCCG